rnacentral:rRNA from 1 species
GCGUAUCCAACCUGCCCACCACUUGGGGAUAACCUUGCGAAAGUAAGACUAAUACCCAAUGAUAUCUCUAGAAGACAUCUGAAAGAGAUUAAAGAUUUAUCGGUGAUGGAUGGGGAUGCGUCUGAUUAGCUUGUUGGCGGGGUAACGGCCCACCAAGGCAACGAUCAGUAGGGGUUCUGAGAGGAAGGUCCCCCACAUUGGAACUGAGACACGGUCCAAACUCCUACGGGAGGCAGCAGUGAGGAAUAUUGGUCAAUGGACGAGAGUCUGAACCAGCCAAGUAGCGUGC